rnacentral:tRNA from 1 species
GGCAGUAUGGCCUAGAGGGUAGAGCACUGGACUGGGACUCUGGAGAGUUGGUUUCUAUUCCCAGCUCUGCCA